rnacentral:rRNA from 1 species
GACGAACGCUGGCGGCGUGCUUAACACAUGCAAGUCGAACGGAAAGGCCCUGCUUUUGUGGGGUGCUCGAGUGGCGAACGGGUGAGUAACACGUGAGUAACCUGCCCUUGACUUUGGGAUAACUUCAGGAAACUGGGGCUAAUACCGGAUAGGAGCUCCUGCUGCAUGGUGGGGGUUGGAAAGUUUCGGCGGUUGGGGAUGGACUCGCGGCUUAUCAGCUUGUUGGUGGGGUAGUGGCUUACCAAGGCUUUGACGGGUAGCCGGCCUGAGAGGGUGACCGGCCACAUUGGGACUGAGAUACGGCCCAGACUCCUACGGGAGGCAGCGGUGGGGAAUAUUGCACAAUGGGCGGAAGCCUGAUGCAGCAACGCCGCGUGCGGGAUGACGGCCUUCGGGUUGUAAACCGCUUUCGCCUGUGACGAAGCGUGAGUGACGGUAAUGGGUAAAGGAGCACCGGCUAACUACGUG